CAGCCGCCGCGGUAAUACGUAGGUGGCAAGCGUUGUCCGGAAUUAUUGGGCGUGAAGGGCUGGCAGGCGGUUUCUUAAGUCUGAUGUGAAAGCCCCCGGCUCAACCGGGGAGGGUCAUUGGAAACUGGGAAACUUGAGUGCAGAAGAGGAGAGUGGAAUUCCACGUGUAGCGGUGAAAUGCGUAGAGAUGUGGAGGAACACCAGUGGCGAAGGCGACUCUCUGGUCUGUAACUGACGCUGAGGAGCGAAAGCGUGGGGAGCGAACAGGAUUAGAUACCCCAGUAGUCCCUGUCUCUUAUAC
rnacentral:rRNA from 1 species